CCUUUAAUCAUCACAACUGCUGAGCUGGAAAAGGAUAGGCAGCCGGAGGUCAGAAAAGGGGGCGGGGCUACACGUACUGUACAGUCAGUGCCAGGCCAGCCAGCAGCAUGGGAGAGAGAAGAGCUCACUAUACAGCAGCAGCACAGCCUAAAUACUCCCGGGUUCCGACCACCGUUGCUCCUUCCAUGGAUAUCGCUGACAGCAGCCUCACUCAGGAAGGAUAGCCUGAGUGAGUAAGAUGGGAAAGCUCCUGUGUCUCACUCCUCCAGCUCCUAGACAGCAGCACAGACCCAUCUGCUUUCUGUGUGGUUCAGUUCACCUCUCCAGCAGCCCCAGUGGACGACCCGACUCAUCCCACAGACACAGGGGGGGUGGACAGGUGGCGGAGGCUUAGUAAGGGGAAAUCGCACGGCACAGAUGACAGAGAUGCUGAUGUAGAGCCGAGAGCUUCCAGUUUGCCUUCCACAGUGGAACGCAAAUUCCGGAAGCAUGGCAGUCGGCACUAGCAGUGUCGGCAGACCCGACAGAGGGACCUGUCCAACUGGAACUUACCUGCUUUUCUGGUGACCCAAUCUGCCCUUGCUGGUGGUCAUGAUAAAGUCGCUUCUAACUGA